rnacentral:rRNA from 1 species
CCUACGGGAGGCAGCAGUCGAGAAUCUUCCGCAAUGGACGAAAGUCUGACGGAGCGACGCCGCGUGGUGGAUGAAGCGUUUCGGCGCGUAAACACCUUUUAUGAGGGAGGAAGUAUAUUGACGUUACCUCAUGAAUAAGGGGCUCCCAACUCUGUGCCAGCAGGAGCGGUAAUACAGAGGCCCCAAGCAUUAUCCGGAUUCACUGGGCGUAAAGGGUGCGUAGGCGGUUAUAUUAGUCGGAUGUUAAAUCUUUGGGCUCAACCCAAAAAUCGCAUUCGAAACGGUAUAACUAGAGGAAGUCAGAGGUAAGCAGAACUCUCGGUGUAGGGGUGAAAUCCGUUGAUAUCGAGGGGAAUACCAAAUGCGAAGGCAGCUUACUGGGACUUUCCUGACGCUGAGGCACGAAAGCAUGGGUAGCGAACGGGAUUAGAUACCCUUGUAGUC